UACGUAGGGACCAAGCGUUGUUCGGAUUUACUGGGCGUAAAGGGCGCGUAGGCGGCGUGACAAGUCACUUGUGAAAUCUCUGGGCUUAACCCAGAACGGCCAAGUGAAACUGUUGUGCUAGAGUGCAGAAGGGGCAAUCGGAAUUCUCGGUGUAGCGGUGAAAUGCGUGAGAUAUCGAGAGGGAACACCAGAGGUGAAGACGGGUUGCUGGGCUGACACGUGACGCUGAGGCGCGAAAGCCAGGGGAGCAAACGGG
rnacentral:rRNA from 1 species